rnacentral:misc_RNA from 1 species
AACGCACAUUGCGCCCCUUGGUAUUCCGAGGGGCAUGCCUGUUCGAGCGUCAUUACAAUACCUCUCAAGCUUUUUUGCUUGGUGUGUUGGGUUAUCAUCCUUCCCAUCUUCUCUCUCCUAGCUGCCCAAGCUAGGUGGGUGGAAGGGCCUGGAUGUACCUGAAAAUUAGUGGCAGUGCCAUGAUAGCCUCAAGCGUAGCAGGCUUUCUCUCGCUUUGGAUGGUCUUGUCAUGCAGCUUGCUAGCCUUUUGCAUGUUUGUCUUUAAGGUGUUUGACCUCGGAUCAGGUAGGGAUACCCGCUGAACUUAA